CGCUUCCUUCCCGGCGCGUCUGGCAGGCGGCCCGCGGGCAGCUGUGGGCGGGAGCUCGGCCCUCUGGGUCCGCCCGCGCCCGGGAGCCGGCGGCCAGGGGACCCGCUGCCAAGGAGGGGGCGGCGGCGGGGCCUGGAACGCGCGGCCCGGCCUGGCUGAGGAACCAAGCAAGCUCCGACAGGCCCUGGUACAGUGCCUCCAGGGACUUAAAUCUGGCUCAGCCACGUGGUUACCCUGAUCCAUCUGCUGGGAGAUGAGCAAAGGUCAGAGAGAGGGACCAAACCUGCAGCAGUUCCUGAACGCCCAGCCCCCAGCUCUUCCAGAGGUGCAACAAGGACCAACCUGUGAGCAUUUGUUCUUCCUCAGGCUUCUGAAGAAAAACUUUUUGAGAAGGUGCUCCAAGGACAGCAGGGGUGAAGGCUCAGAGCUCAGGAAGCUAACAGGCACCAAACCCCAAAGGAUGCAAAAUUUGAGGCUAAAGAGGAUGUUGGAAUAAUUUAACUGAAUGAACCCAAAAUGCCUAAAGGAAAUCCCUAAAGCAAGAUAAUCAUGCUGAGGACAAAGCAAUGACCUUAAGAUAAGCAGCUAUUUACUUUUCACUGCAGACAGGUUAAGAAGAUAAGCAUUCAUUAAGCAACUUUAUGGUAUAGUAUAGAGUUGGACAACCUUACACUCAACUCACAUCCAUGUAAAAUCCUAGAGGAGACAAAGUAACAGAGACAGCUAAGAACCUAAUCCUGUUAUAGGAUUCCACCUGUAAAUUGGUUUGGAAGUACAGCUAGCCAAAUGGUUUUGUUUGGUAGAUUUCCAUCAAGUCCCCAAAUCUGGAAACACUCCUUGGAAGUUAGUCUUGGCCUCUUAUCACUUUGAAUUGUGACUAAUGUUAAA